UCAGCAAAAUUCCCAUUUGAGUAAUGGCUUUGAGACCAAACAGUAAUGAAAGCUUCCCUUAGGACUGAAAUCUGGAAAUGAGCCCAUUCAUUAGCCCUGUCUACGCCUCUGCAAGGCCUACUCUGGAUGAAAACCAGCAGCUCCGUUCUAAGGGGUGGCUCGGCAUCCAAGAUGGAAUAACCUUUCAACUGGGAACUGCCCUCCUCCCAGUGUGAUUGUGUGAGCUGGCCUGCACCUCACGGAGCUCACCCUCUUGGUGUCUGGGUCCUGGAACCAUGAACUGACCCCUCCAAGCCUAGGGACCUCCUGGAGAGCAGAGGAGCAGCAACGAUGUCCCAACUGCAUAGAAAUACCCCGAACGGAAGCGGAUGCAGGGGUCGACGGGGCACCUGUCCAAGAUGCUCUCUCCGGGCACGUCUGGGCCCAGGCUACUGCUGAUCUGUAAACACCCGGCGCUGGAAUCACCAGGAGACAAACAAGAAGGGAACUCAUUAGAUAAACCCUCAUGCUUACGGCCCUAUUAGUUAAUUAAAUUAUCACUUUACUGUGCCCAAA